ACGGCCACACCAUGCUGAAUAUACCGGUUCUCGUUAGAUCACCGAAGUCAAGCAUCAUUGGGCGAGGUCAAUACUUGGGUGGGUGACCACCUGGGAACACCGCGUGCCGUU
rnacentral:rRNA from 1 species